AUACGAAGGUCCCGAGCGUUAUUCGGAAUCACUGGGCGUAAAGAGUAUGUAGGCGGUUUGGUAAGUCAGGUGUGAAAUCCCGGAGCUCAACUUCGGAACUGCAUCCGAUACUGCCAGACUAGAGUAAUGGAGAGGCAGGUGGAAUUCUCGGUGUAGCAGUGAAAUGCGUGGAUAUCGAGAGGAAGACCAAUGGCGAAGGCAGCCUGCUGGACAUUUACUGACGCUGAGAUACGAAGGCUAGGGGAGCGAAAGGGAUUAGAAACCCUAGUAGUCC
rnacentral:rRNA from 1 species